rnacentral:rRNA from 1 species
UACGAGAGGUGCAAGCGUUAUUCGGAUUUAUUGGGUGUAAAGGGCGCGUAGACGGCGCGUUAAGUUUGUUGUUAAAUCCUCCGGCUUAACUGGAGAUAUGCGGCAAAAACUGGCGUGCUAGAGGGUGGAAGAGAGAAGUGGAAUUCUCGGAGUAGCGGUAAAAUACGUAGAUCUCGAGAGGAACACCGAUGGCGAAGGCAGCUUCUUGGUCCAUUCCUGACGUUGAGGCGCGAAAGCGUGGGGAGCAAACAGG